UACGUAGGGACCAAGCGUUUAUCCGGAUUCACUGGGUUUAAAGGGUGCGUAGGAGGACAGGUAAGUCAGUGGUGAAAUCCCCAAGCUUAACUUGGGAACUGCCUGGAUACUAUCAAUCUUGAAUAUCGUGGAGGUAAGCGGAAUAUGUCAUGUAGCGGUGAAAUGCUUAGAUAUGACAUAGAACACCAAUUGCGUAGGCAGCUUACUACACGAUCAUUGACGCUGAGGCACGAAAGCGUGGGAGCAAACAGG
rnacentral:rRNA from 1 species